rnacentral:rRNA from 1 species
UACGGAGGGGGCUAGCGUUGUUCGGAAUUACUGGGCGUAAAGCGCACGUAGGCGGCUUUGUAAGUUAGAGGUGAAAGCCCGGGGCUCAACUCCGGAACUGCCUUUAAGACUGCAUCGCUAGAAUUGUGGAGAGGUAAGUGGAAUUCCGAGUGUAGAGGUGAAAUUCGUAGAUAUUCGGAAGAACACCAGUGGCGAAGGCGACUUACUGGACACAUAUUGACGCUGAGGUGGCGAAAAGCGUGGGGAGCAAACAGG